rnacentral:rRNA from 1 species
AUUGAACGCUGGCGGCAGGCCUAACACAUGCAAGUCGAGCGGAUGAAGGGAGCUUGCUCCUGGAUUCAGCGGCGGACGGGUGAGUAAUGCCUAGGAAUCUGCCUGGUAGUGGGGGAUAACGUCCGGAAACGGGCGCUAAUACCGCAUACGUCCUGAGGGAGAAAGUGGGGGAUCUUCGGACCUCACGCUAUCAGAUGAGCCUAGGUCGGAUUAGCUAGUUGGUGGGGUAAAGGCCUACCAAGGCGACGAUCCGUAACUGGUCUGAGAGGAUGAUCAGUCACACUGGAACUGAGACACGGUCCCGACUCCUACGGGAGGCAGCGGUGGGGAAUAUUGGACAAUGGGCGAAAGCCUGAUCCAGCCAUGCCGCGUGUGUGAAGAAGGUCUUCGGAUUGUAAAGCACUUUAAGUUGGGAGGAAGGGCAGUAAGUUAAUACCUUGCUGUUUUGACGUUACCAACAGAAUAAGCACCGGCUAACUUCGUG